CACGGCGCACGGGUGCGUAACACGUGGGUAAUCUGCCCUCUGAUGGGGAAUAACUCGCCGAAAGGCGAGCUAAUUCCGCAUAAUAUUCCGGGUACUUAUGUUUCCGGACUGAAAGGCGUAAGUCGUCGGAGGAGGAGCCCGCGCACGAUUAGCUAGUUGGUAGGAUAAUGGCCUACCAAGGCUUUGAUCGUUAGCUGGUCUGAGAGGAUGGCCAGCCACACUGGAACUGAGACACGGUCCAGACUCCUACGGGAGGCAGCAGUGGGGAAUCUUGCACAAUGGGCGAAAGCCUGAUGCAGCGACGCCGCGUGGGGGAUGAAGCUUCUCGGAGUGUAAACCCCUUUCGAUCCGGACGAAUGCCCGCAAGGGAUUGACGGUACGGAUAUAAGAAGCCCCGGCUAACUACGUGCCAGCAGCCGCGGUAAUACGUAGGGGGCCAGCGUUGUUCGGAAUUACUGGGUGUAAAGGGUUCGUAGGCGGUGCGGCAAGUUGGGAGUGAAAUCUCUGGGCUCAACCCAGAGACGGCUUCCAAAACUGCUGUGCUUGAGUGUGGGAGAGGCUCGUGGAAUUGCAGGUGUAGCGGUGAAAUGCGUAGAUAUCUGCAGGAACACCCGUGGCGAAAGCGGCGAGCUGGACCACUACUGACGCUGAAGAACGAAAGCUAGGGGAGCAAACAGGAUUAGAUACCCUGGUAGUCCUAGCCCUAAACGAUCAGGACUUGGGGUGCCACCCGUUCGGGUGGCGUCCCGGAGCUAACGCGUUAAGUCCUGCACCUGGGGAGUACGGUCGCAAGACUGAAACUCAAAGGAAUUGACGGGGGCCCGCACAAGCGGUGGAACAUGUGGUUCAAUUCGA
rnacentral:rRNA from 1 species